GGGAUUUUCAUGCCAUAAAUUUUGAUGCAUCGGAGCUUGGAGUGAAGCAUAGAUGGCCUCCCCCGUGGCCUUCUAGAGGUUAGCCAAACGCACUGAUGCUAGCUUCUUUAUUUGCUUCUAAUUUUUAAUUUGCAUCUUUCUUUUCGUUAGUAAAAAAAAUAAAAAUAAAAAUAAAAAUAAUAAAAAAAAAGAGAGAAGAAAAUACAAAAAGAGAGUGCGGCGCAUCAGCGACUGGCCGCGAGCGUUUGUCCGCAUAAGUAAGCGACCACUAAGAGACUGGCCGCGAGAGCAAGUGACCGCUAAGCGAUGGUCGCGAGCGAAGGCAAGCGACUGCGAAGAGAUGGUCGCGAGCGGCCGCGAAGCCAAUUCCCCGCGAGCAAAUUGGCCCGAAGACUGGCCGCGAGUGUUCGCAAGGGGCAUUUCGCGAAGGUUUUCUAGCGAGCAACGAUCGCGUGAAGCAGGGUCCGCUGAUAUACAUCGCCUGGGCUUCGCUAGCGAGCUUCAUCAGGAAUUCUCCAACAAGAUAUGCAUACUCUGAACUCUGAGACGAAGUCGAUCCAAGGGCCAGCGAGUGGUCGUUAGUGAAUAAUCUCAUGCCAAUUACAGUGGCAGACGUCGAGGCGGAAGCAAGACGAAGGCUUUCUGGUGCUGAAGCGGAAUCAGAAAGAGGCACUACAGCUGGCGAAAAAGGCAGAAUUGAACAUAUUGAAACUACGUAUCCAACCCAGUAAUCUCCCAUUGUUUCUAUGAAGAAUCAAGUUCAAUCCCCAUUACCCGGUGAUUAAUUUGAACGCUUUGUUGAUAAAUUGAUCUUCUAUGGGCUGCUCUGUUGAAAUUUCAUCAUAGGGUUGAGAAUCUGAGAUAUGCACACAAGGUGUUCGAUGGAAUGCCUGAAAGAGACCUCCUAUGAAGAUGACAUGCUCUGCAGACUUGGGGGGCAGAACUGGAGAUUACAGGGGAAUAUCAGUCCCCAAAAAGAGCUCACUAGCCUUCUCGUGAUGAUGGAAUUUCAGAGUUUGAAGAUUUUCAUGAGAAAAGAGCAGUAGCAGACAGAAGUCGUUUCGCCAGGGUAGUUUUCCUUGGCUAUUACUUCACAAAUGUACCAUGGAAUGUCCCAUAGUGCAUUCAAUUACGCGCAGGUGCCUAUAGAGGUAAUGAGACUGUUCGUCGUUAGAACAUAUGCGAGUGUGAUCAGGAGGGACCUAUUUUCAAGGUGCAGCAUUAGUUAUAAGCCAACAGCAAGCAGUCAAUCGCAGGCUUAGAUCACAAUUAUAGGGGCUCGUCAGCAUUUGCUUGAUUCACAAUGGGAUGUCCAGUGAAAUAAUGGUCAACGUACUUCUAUACGGCUUGAAAUCAUCAGGAGAAAAAUCAUUUCGCCAGGGCAUUUUUCCUUGGCUGUUGCUUCUUGGGAUCUUACAGUAGUUCAUCUAGCUAUGUACAAGUCGGCGAAGUGGUUAUUCGGCAAAGCUAACCUAAGAAGCCAGCAGGUGGCUCUAGUUAUACUUGCCAGCGAGUGGGCUUAGUGGACAGCAUGCCAAUCACGGUGGCAUUGAAAUGCCUGGUUUGGCGAUAUCAGGAUGCAUUCGUACUUUAUUUCAAGGCAGGCACGUAUGUGCAAACUAUUUCGGAAGUGGUGAACAAGUGACACGUGCAUGAAUGUAUUUUCUAAAUGAAGAAGUGCACCAGCCUCCAGCAAUUUUUCUCGGUCAAACUCUUGGCUGCUCGCAGCCAACUUUGUGUAAUGGUAAAUUAAAUCAUGCAUAGCUACAGCAUACUCUUGUCCAUUGCGAACAAUAAGGCCUUAUUAAUUAGUUAGCCUAUAUGUUUAUACAUAUUUAUGCCUACCUAGAGGCAACGUCACAAUAGCUAUCAAAGCCAAUUGUGGUUUUGAAAUACACGUGGUUGAUCAUUAUCAAUAAGGCCUACGUCUGUGGCCUUUUAUUAUGGGAAGCAUUUAUCUUAUUUCAAGACGUUCACUACAACAAAAUUGCUUAUUUAUAGCACUGGAUAAUAGCGUUUUUUAAGCAAGUGCUAUAGAUUGUAUAUAGCUUAUUCUUUGAUAGCAUUUGUAAAUUUUUAAACGCUAUUAAAAAUUUGAGCGGGAGUAGUAAGCGGGUAAUGAAAAACAUAAGCGGGCUUAAUUUUAGGUGAGUGACACUUUAAACGAAAAGCAACAACUAAGACCCCAAAAACCUCUUCUCUCUUGGUGGCCGCUCUCUCUGUCCGUUCUCUCUCGGUGGCGCUGUUUCUCUUUUCUCUCUCGGUGGCUGCUGUCUCUCUUCAUCCCCACCGCUCUCUCUCUCUCUCUCUCUCCUCUUCUCUCUUCGUUUCUUCAUAAGGAAAGCUUUGCAAAGGAUUAAAUUUCACUUUCAAGGUAACGGUUUAAACAUAUACUUGAUUCUAUUUUCUGCAAACCAGGGAAGACAUUGUUUUUCAGUUCUAUUCUUACUUGUUGCUUACAUUGCCGACAAACCAAUAUAUUUCAAUCUCUUGUUGCUUGUCACCUUUCUCUGACAGACCAUUGAUUUUUUUUUUUUUGGGUAAUUGCAAGUUUGUAUUUUUUAUUUGGUUCUUCAAUGUAUUUUCUUUACUCUUGAUUGUGUCUGAAAGAUUCAAUUUGGCUUGUUUCAGCUUAAGAUUCAAUUAGCCUUGGGCAUGUGCUGUUGUUUGUUGGGCUACUAUUUUCCUUCACUAAUCUGCAUUUGUUCAGGUUAAGAAUGAUAAAUUGAUGGUUAGAGUAAUAUAAUUUAUGGUAGUUUGUGUUAAUUUAUACGAUAAGGGUCUAAGUAAUUGGUUGUUGAGAAUUAUGAUGAAAGGAAGAGUGAAAAAGAAAGUGAAAUUUUUGGGGUGGUGUUGCUUUGGGUGUUGAAAAUUGAUGUUAGUUCCAUAUCAGUUGAGCACAUGAGAAUAGUGAAAUUACAAAUUGUUCUGUUAUCGUUCUGUUUUGAUAUGUAUUGAGUGUACUGAACUGAUGGACUGUGGUGUCCUUGCUCGAUCUGUUGGAUUUGUUUUAGGUUCAAUUUUCCCAAUCAGUUAGCUGGUGACUGAUUUUAAUACCUUAACUAUACUAAACUCAUGUCUCUUGAACUAGUUAAGUGGUUACUAGAGGACCUGGUUUGGCAGCUUGUGGAUGAGUCAAUUGGUUGAGCAGCUUGAGUUCAUAUGUCAUGAAAUUGGAAGAAAUGGCAUGAUUUAACAUAGAGAGAGUUUAUAUCUAAAUUACAUUGGUCUCAUUGAAAUCAGAGAGCAUUUUUGUUUCUUUAACUUAAGUGGUUUUUGUCAUUGCCAUUGUGAUUGUUAUUGUGUUUUUCUGCAUUCAAAUUCCUAAUGCAUAUAUUGUGGCAGCUUAUUUUUGUUUCUUUUGUGCUGGCAUAUAUGAAGUUUAUUAUGUAUUUUAUUCAUUAAUAUCUGUUAUGAAGUAAAUUAUGUACUUUAUUGAUCGAUUAGAAUUAGUUUGUUUGGUUCAAUUUUAGACAUUGCUUGCAUAAGUGUUGCAAUCUGUGCAUAAAUUUCAGGAAAAUACUUCUCUGUCAUGUGGAAAUUUCAGGAUAAACAAUCUGUGCAUAAAUUUUUUCCUGCAAUUUGAGAUAGCUAGAAAUUCAUUCCUUUUGGGCAUUCUGUUCGGAUAGAAGUGUAAGCGUAUGAAACUUUGUUUCUAUGCACUAAAUUCCAUUGAGUUUCAAGUUGCUUUUGUAAUCUACCACUGGAUGUUGUUACGGUUCUUUAGAAUUGAGCAGACUUCAUAAAUAAAAGAAGAAAAUAUCAUAACUGGGCAGAAGUGAAUUAUUUUGAUCUCAUUCUUAGCAAAGUGGCAAACUAGGUCCGGUAAGAUUAAAUUGAGGAUUCACCAAGCUGAACUGUACGUAAAAUGAUGUCCAUGAUGUCUAUGAAGCUCAGUUGAUUUCUCUUGGUGUCACUACAGUUAUACUCCCAUUGGCUUUGCUUAAAGAAGUGGCUACAUUCUAAGUUCUGUCCUUUUGGUUAUUAGGAACAAAAAGCCACCAUUUAGCAUUCUAAUUGCAAUUGUCAUUCCAAGCUUAUAUUUUGUUUCAUGAUCAUUAAAUCUUCAAAUGGAUCAAAUAUGUGAAAGUAAAACACUGAAUUAGACUUCUAUUAAUGGAAGUCUACCCUAGAAUACUUCCAGUCAAGUCGAGAGAUAGACAAAGGAUGACAGCUGGAGUGUAACAGUUUAUGUGAGAGCAAGAAAUCAUGAGAAUUUAUUAUAGCUGCAUUGAUUCUAAUGUCUCAUAUCAUGAGACAAGAAGAUCGAGACUUGUUUGAUAAGAAAAAUCAGAGGAAGAUAUUAGUUUAAAAUGAACCCUGGCUAGUUGCCUUCCCCUAUAUUAGCCGCAUUUGAGUGCUUUAAAUUUAUUGCCAAACCAUGCAUCGUAUCCAUAUCUCAUAACAUUUUUCCAGAACUGAAAACAAACUAGAGCUCUUUUUAUUUUUUUUCUAGCCGUGGCUCUGGAGACAGUAUUCUAUUUAUUUGUAGUUCUGAUGAUCCAACUCUUUAUAAAUGAAGGGUCGAAAUAUCUAUCGAUAAGCUCUGAUUUGACUACCUCCAGCAGUACCUAUUUUCUUAUGCCUGAUUUGAGUUCCUGCAGAAAGUACUUUAUCUACACUUUUAGUUGUCUCAUAGUAACAAUACAGGACCAAACUCCAGUAAUAUAUACAUAAUGUAUUUGCUUGUAACACUAAGGGGCCUAUAUUUGUUCUGGACUUCUGGUUGAUGUAGACUCUUUGCUUUCCCAAAGUGACUUGUAUGAAUAAUAUGUACUCCAUGAUGAAUAAUUAAUGGACAAUGUGGCUUAAAGUAUCCACGUAUGAUGUGAAUGUAUGAUUGGAUGCUUAGUUCUUCAGUGUGCUUGCAUUUAUCAUAGAGUGGUGGCAAAAAAAAAUAACAAAGUAUGUGCAUUUUAGAGAGGUAUAUAUAGGUAAACCCUUAAGUUCCAGUGCCAUAGAGCUAUUAGAAAAUGACCCCCAACUAAUCGUCAUCAACUUGUCCUCAGUCUUAUUUACUGUCUCACUUUUGCGCUCUUGCAAAUGGUAGAAAGUUUCUUUCUAACCAAUGAUCAUUUCUUUGAAGCUGAAGAAGAAGAAAUCUCAGGUUGGUAAUUUGGUUUCAUACAACUUUUAUGGGAAAUGGGUGAGGUGCUCGUUAAUAGUCCCAUGAGAACCAAAACAAGCCUCUCCUUCCAAGUUCUUCCAAGUACAAGGUUUUUCAACUUUCUAACUCUGAAAAGUAUUUUUGAAAUUUUCUUUUGGAUUAAAUUCUGCUUACUACCCUGUACUUUCAGGGGUUCGUCAGUUCAGUCCCUGCACUUCUAAUUUAAUCAGAAAAGUCCUCACACUCUUCAAUUUCAUCAAAUCGAUCCAUUUCCUCAUCAUUCCGUCAAUUUCCACUGUUUAGGUGCUGACGUGUCCGGACGCCAUUUGAUCUGUCAGAUUUGUGGGACCUUCCCACAUGCAAAAUUCCCAAGCUACCCCUCCAAUAUAUCUCCCUCCCCUUUCCCACCCGAACACCUAAUUCCCCAGAACCCCGUCUUCUCUUCUUCUUCUUCUCAGAGCUCUUCUUCUUUUCAGCUCUUAGUUAUGGUUCCUCACUUCCUCCACCGAUCAACAUGGCCGGAAGAAGAUGAGAGAGAGACUGAUAAACAAGAGGGGGUAUGGGUUCAUUCUUCAACCUCUCAUCAAUGUCCUCCCUCGCAGCCAAAGAUCAUGCUCACAGCAAACCUAGAAAAUUUAAGUAUUUGGGUGUGCGAAUUAACCCAAUUUGGUUGAGAUGAGUCCUCUAGAUUCAACUAAGAUGCAGAAAAACCAAAUCUGAACAAAAUUCAAAUCAAGAUGCAUGUAAACCCAACAUGAAAACCAAAACCAAAGAUAUAGAUCUCUUCCCAAAUCAAAAUUUCAUUCUUCUACAAAAUUUCGUUCUUCCCAAAUCCAAAUCGGAAGCUCAUUACCAACCACACCCAUCCCAAGAAGUUCAAGCUCGUCUGCAGCUCCAACGGCGCAUUCCACCCCCGGCCACCGUCUGGGAAGCUCCGCUACGUCGGCGGCGAGACUUGGAUCAUCUCCGUCGACCUGACCAUUGCAUUCUCCAAGCUCCAGUCGAAGAUUUCCGAUCUCUCCCCUAACUCCCCGACUCCGGAUCGAGCUCCUGUGCCACCCACACGUCAACUCCGACGACGACGUCCGCCACAUGGUCGAGAGAGAGAGCUGAAGAGUUGAGCGACGAUCAACAAUUCACUUCUCUUCAGGUAACUCCAAUUUUCUUCUCUUCAAAUUCAAUCAAGAUCUAAAUCCUUCCACCCCUUGUCUGAUCCAAUUCUUUUCUCCACAGUCAACGAUUCACGAUCACAACUAGGAUCUCGGGUGCUGGAUUUGCAGGUGAAAGAAAUCUCCGAUGGAAUGGACGACGGUGCAGCAUCUCGAUCUACGACACGUCGCGCGGAGUAAUAACCCCUGCAGCCUCAUGUCGUCAUAGACCCUGACCUGGGUGGAGGAUGGGAAGGCAGUGGUUAAGAAACACAGUGACGAAUCGCUGAGGAAGAUGGUGUUGAAGCAGCAAUUGUUGGCCAAGCAACCGUGUUUGGUCCGUGGGUUUGGUUUUGGUGAGAGUGAUAUGGAAGUUGGUAGCAAUCAUGAUGAACCCCCAUUUUCACUCUCAUAGUCUAUGGGCAUUUUGGGAAUUUUACAUGUGGAAAGGUCCCACAAAUCUGACAGAUCAGACGGCGUCUGGACACGUCAGCACCUAAACAGUGGAAAUUGACGGAAUGAUGAGGAAAUGGAUCGAUUUGAUGAAAUUGAAGAGUGCGAGGACUUUUCUGAUUAAAUUAGAAGUGCAUGGACUGAACUGACGAACCCCUGAAAGUACAGGGUAGUAAGCAGAAUUUAAUCCUUUUCUUUUUACCAAGUAUGAAUAUGCUAGCUAGGAGUUUAGUUGAAUUCAUCUGUCUCUUUGUUAGUUGGUUAAGUAGUUAAUAUUGCCAUACUGUUUCUGACUUUCUUCUGUGAACAGCUGUUAUUGCUUUAAUGUAUUUCUCUGUGGCUCUAACCAUAGUGUUUCUAGAUUCAAUGUUUCUGAAUCGAUUUUUCAUUGUAUCAACCAUUUGGGGUAGCAUUUUCGUUCUUUCUCAUUCAAGUGCGAACAGAAAUUCACCAACUGUAAUUAAGCAAGAUGGAGUUGGUGGGUGGGAGUACUGAGAAGUUGUUUGUUUUUCCUUUUGCUCUCCGUAUUGGUAUUUGGUCUUACUGUAAUAUCAUUAGGGCAGCUCGAUCUCAUUGUUCUCUGAAGUUCAUGACUCAGAAAACCUGGCAUUUGGAUUAGAUGUGAAAGAGUGACUCAAAUGAGUUGCAGAUGGCAGGUAUGAUGCGAGAUUUGCUUUGAUGGAUUGGUUUGUUUUGAUUUUUGAGGUCCAAACCAAACCAAAUUGAACCGUUAUGUUAUGAACUUAUGAUAAGUCUGGUCUCUGGUUCUAAAAUAACAAGUUAAAUGCAUUUGAGAGAAUUUGGUAAACCUUUAAGUUCUCGAACCAGAGAGCUAUUAGAAAAUGCCCUUCAAGUUUUGGGUAAAUCGUCGUCAACUUGUCUCUCAGUCUUAUGUACCAUCUCAACUUCUCUAAUCAUGAUUUUUGUCUUCU